GCCUUUCGCUAGGAGGAGGAUCCGCGCGGCGGCCGCAGCACACUGCUCGAAGCCGAAACCGCAGGCCGCAGCAAGCGAGAGCCCAGCCAAGCGGCGGCGACCCGCCUCCGACUCCGUCCCCGGCCGCCGCGCCCAUGGAGUCCUCGCCGCAGCCGGCGCCUCCCACCGGAGGCGACCCGGCGGCGCCGGCGGAUCCCGAGCUCCCCAGGCUCACGGUGACGCAGGUGGAGCAGAUGAAGGUGGAGGCCAGGGUUGCCGACAUCUACCGCAUCCUCUUCGGGGCUGCGCCCAACACGAAAUCCGUCAUGCUAGAGCUGUGGCGUGAUCAGCAUAUCGAGUACCUGACACAUGGGCUGAGGCAUCUCGGGCCAGCCUUUCAUGUUCUCGAUGCCAAUCGCCCAUGGCUGUGCUACUGGAUGGUUCAUCCACUUGCUUUGUUGGAUGAGGUACUUGAUGAUGAUCUCGAGGAUGAUAUCGUGGACUUCUUAGCUCGAUGUCAGGAUAAAGAUGGUGGAUAUGGCGGUGGACCUGGGCAGUUGCCUCAUCUAGCUACGACUUAUGCUGCUGUAAAUACACUUGUGACUAUAGGGAGCGAAAGGGCACUGUCAUCAAUAAAUAGGGAUUACCUGUACAAGUUUAUGCUUCGGAUGAAAGAUGAAUCGGGUGCUUUCAGAAUGCAUGAUGGUGGUGAAAUUGAUGUUCGGGCUUCCUAUACUGCUAUAUCGGUGGCCAGCCUUGUAAACAUUCUCGAUGUAGAACUGGCAAAAGGUGUUGGUGAUUACAUAGCAAGAUGUCAAACUUAUGAAGGUGGUAUUGCUGGGGAGCCUCAUGCUGAAGCUCAUGGUGGGUACACGUUCUGUGGAUUGGCUGCUUUGAUCCUGCUUAAUGAGGCAGAGAAACUUGACUUGCCUUGCUUGAUCUUGGCAUUGUUGCUGACAACUUCACCACUUAGGACUGGGUGGCAUUUCGUCAAGGAGUGGAAUGUGGAUUUCAAGGACGAACUAAUAAAUUGGUUGACGGUUGCUACUCCUUUUGGCAGGGUGCUGCCAUUGCUUUAACACAAAAGCUGGUUAUGAUUAUUGACGAGCAAUUGAAAUUAUCAUACUCCUGCAAAAAGCCAUCAGGAGAGGAUGCAUGUGGCACUAGUUCAUCUGGGUGCACUUCAGAAAAAUCUUCCUCUGCUGUCGAUUAUGCAAAGUUUGGAUUUGAUUUUAUACAACGGAGCAACCAAAUUGGCCCACUGUUCCACAACAUUGCCCUGCAACAAUACAUCCUGCUUUGUGCUCAGGUUCUAGAGGGAGGAUUGAGGGAUAAGCCUGGAAAGAACAGAGAUCACUACCACUCGUGCUACUGCCUCAGUGGCCUCUCAGUUAGCCAGUACAGUGCCAUGACUGAUUCUGAUUCAUGCCCCUUACCGCAGCAUGUGCUGGGCCCAUACUCCAAUUUGCUGGAGCCCAUCCAUCCACUCUACAAUGUUGUAUUGGACAAAUACCAUACGGCCUAUGAGUUCUUUUCACAAGAGUGAUGGUGUGAAAUUUUAGAGCAAAGUUGGCUAGGGCAAAUAUCUGACGGUAUUGUUUGCACGGAUACUAUUGGCCCCAAGUAUUGUGACAUUAUAUUUCCGGUAUGCAUACCUUGGUCAUGUUCUAUGAGGCUAUAAUUGUAGGCUUGGUCAGGCACAUUGUCUGGUUUUGAUGUCAUCUCAAUUUCUGUUACUAGCGUUUUUUUUAGUAUUGGUGUAUUGCCUGGUUUUGACUUUU